UACAGAGGGGGCGAGCGUUGUUCGGAAUUACUGGGCGUAAAGGGCGCGUAGGCGGCCCGCUAAGUCGGACGUGAAAUCCCCAGGCUCAACUUGGGAACUGCGUCCGAUACUGGAUGGCUUGAAUUCGGGAGAGGGAUGCAGAAUUCCAGGUGUAGCGGUGAAAUGCGUAGAUAUCUGGAGGAAUACCGGUGGCGAAGGCGGCAUCCUGGACCGAGAUUGACACUGAAAAGCGAAAGCCAGGGGAGCAAACGGG
rnacentral:rRNA from 1 species